rnacentral:rRNA from 1 species
GACAGAGGUGCCGAGCGUUAGGCGGAAUCACUGGGCGUAAAGCGCACGUAGGCGGGUUCUUAAGUCAGGGGUGAAAUCCUGGAGCUCAACUCCAGAACUGCCUUUGAUACUGGGAAUCUCGAGUCCGGGAGAGGUGAGUGGAACUGCGAGUGUAGAGGUGAAAUUCGUAGAUAUUCGCAAGAACACCAGUGGCGAAGGCGGCUCACUGGCCCGGUACUGACGCUGAGGUGCGAAAGCGUGGGGAGCAAACAGG